GUCACCACAAGCCACACUCGCCUGCUCCCCACCUCUCUGUGACAGGGGCUCAGGACCAACUGACCUAGCUCAGCUGCAGUUCCUAGAAAGUCCAGCGGAGUCCGGCUGUCAUUCCUUUGCCGCCUCCUGAGCCAGGAAUGGACAGCCUGCUGCAGGCGCCACUCCCCGAGCUCAUUGCUGCAAGAGCUCUGGCUGUCUCUCCUACUUCCUUCAGAAAAUGAGCUUCCCCUGGCUCAGGAAGGCUUCAUUGAGGAGCCUGGGUCUGAAUCAGCACCCUGCUUUCACAAAUUAGGGAAGAUCCUACAAGCACUCGCCUGUGGUUGGGGAAAGAUCUCCACCCGCUUCCGCUGGGCCCGCAGCCAGCUGCCUGGGAUGGUCAGAAGGUGAAGUGUGACUGCAGCUGAAUGGGGCAGCGGAAGUGUGGCCAGGCUGAGCUCAGCCCAUUCAUGAAAAAGAUCUCCUCUCACUUCCUACUGCCAGGAGCCAGGCGCGUGCAAGCAUGUGUGUGUGUGUGUGUGUGUGUGUGUAUACAUAUGUACACACAUGGCCACUCAUACUCUGUUGCUCUGUCUCAUUUCUCCCUGCCCUUAUUCUUCUGCUCUCUCUCUCUCCCUUCUUUCCACAAAAAUGUAAAGUUCCUCCUCAGGAAACUACCAAAGAAUGUGCAACUGGUUUGUGGUUUGCUAAAAAAUAAAUAA